CUUAAAAAUAGCCAGUAGUAUGCGAACUGCUCGACUAGGGAGGCAAAGAUCCUGAUGUGUCUGACACACGGGGCAUUUGUGAACCACUGUUUGGCUACCGGUCCCACCACUUCGCACCCUCCUCCAACACUGUCGCCAGGGCAGGGCCAAGGGGAGGUACUUGAGGGAAAAGCCGCACCCCUGGCCAGCUCCCACCUAGGCUGGAAGGAGCCGGGGUGCUGUACUUGGAGCGCGGACACACAGUUCCAAAAGGAAAGGGCGGGCCGGCUCUGGCCAGAGGAAAGUCCCAGAGAUGCAUUUGUGCCAAGGGAUGUCUGUCACCCCGCCCUUUAAGGCUGCUCCCAGCACUGUCACCCCAAAACUGGAGGCAGUUAGACCAGCACCCGGAGGAGGCAGAGAGGAGGAAAAUCAGAGGCGGUGUUAGUGAAAGAGAGGCCGCGUGAUGGGGAUUCGGAGACAGGGAGACGGUACAGAACCCAGACGGGACAGGAGGGCAGGGGCUGAUCGUCCGAGAGCGGACAACCCUCCAGCCUUUCCGCGGAGGAGCGCAGUAGCGGGCAGCCGUGGGCCCUCGGGUUCUGCGGAGAUGUGGCGCCUGAAUGCUGAGCCUCGUCAAGAGCCCUCAUCAAAAAAAUCCGCUCACAGACAGUCCUGGGCAGACUCACCAUUCCACAAACAUGCAGUUUUGGGUUGGGGAUUUGAAGGCCAUCAGAGCAUACCCAGACUCCGGGCUACAUGUUAACAUCUGCAACACCCCCGGCUAACAAGAGUGUGCAAUGAACAUGAAAUGUCCAGCUUUAAGCUCAAACCCCCUCACCGUGAAGGGCAAGUCUGCAGUGUGGACACUGCCCUGUUCGGAUGGUCACUGCUGCACAGAACCAGCCAUGGUCCCAGAGAGCUGGGAAGAUGCUCAUGUUCCUGCUUCUCGCUGGAGACCUGAGGAUUCGCCAGUGAAUCAAUCAGCUAAGGGAACAGAGGACUCCAGUGAAAACUCAGAUUAAAUAUUAAGUCUCUUGGCUCGUUCACUCGUAUAUCUUUAACUUGUGGAGUGGAGUCGAGGUCCCCGCCUGCUCACAGGGGUUACCGAUGAAUGCCCACUCUGUUUGUACAAGUCCUUCAGCCAGGCAGCAGCAUCUGUCCUCUGGAACAUACCUGCCCUUCCCUGUGCAGUCAGCCACCACCCAGCGGGGGCUGCUGGCACUUCCUGAGAGGCUGCCGGGCUCUGCCCUGUUCCCUUUCCAGGCCUUCGCUCCAAAGGAGCCCCCUGACAGCCUUACAAGGCAGAUAUUACCUUCCUCCAUUUUACAGAUGGUAAAGCUGAGGCUCAGAAGAGCGGGGGACUUGCCCAAGGUCUCAAAGCUAGUAAGUAGCAGAGUUGGGACUCGAACCUGUCCGUCUAGUCUCCAUGGUUUUUCAUUAUGUUAGCUAUACCCAAAUACCUGCGAAACCUAGCAGAAUAGACAAGGCGAGCUCUGAGUAUAAGGUACCCAGGACUACCAUGUAGGGAGGGUGACCAGCCAUUUCUGUUUCCCUGGGACUGAGGGUAUACCCGGGUUGUGGGACUUUCUGCCAGAUGAGUUGUUCGCCCUACAUGUAGGGUUGUUCAGGGUGUUCACUGAACCAAAGUGGCCAAUGACUUGUGAGCAAAAGUGAGUGUGUCGCUUCUGGACUAGAGCAAUCAAUUCUGCUGAAAGAUCCCCUCACAGUCUCUUCCUCUCUGUCACAGUGACUGGUCAUGGCAGCUCUACCAGCCAGGUUCCAGAGGGGGAGGUCCUGGAGCACAUCCCCCGGCUCACUCGUGAAGGACAUGUGGCCUAGGUGAGAACUAAAUCUUUGCUGUCGUAGGCUAGUUCUGCUCGGAGCUGUUUCUUACUGUGGCAUCAUCUAGCCUGUCCUCAGUGACACUCCAUGGUGUAGAAGUUUACGCUUGAUUUGUGACCCACGUGGGGGCCUGGAGAGAAGCAGAGCAAGGUUUGCAGUUUUCAAAGACCACACUGGUCUAUCUCACUGGGGGCUUUAAACAUCAAUCAGUUUAAUGGUAGAAUUAGCCUUAAAUAUAUUCCUAGAAACUAAGGUUUUUUAAACUACGAUUCUAAUUUUUUUGGUAAAAGUUACUUUAACAGUAGUUGGAUGGUUAAUUUUAUCUGUCAACUUGACUGAGCUUAGGGAUGCCCAGCUCACUGGCAAAUAUCACGUCUGGGUGUGUCUCUGAGGGUGUUUCCCAAAGAGACUGGCAUUUGACUUUCCUCAGUAGACUGAGGAAAGAAGGUGCCCUCGCCCAGGUGCUUGAGGGCCUGACCAGGACAGAAAGGCAGAGGAACGGGGGGUUCACUCUCUGCUGGGGCUAGGGCAUCCAUCUUCUCCUGCCCGUGAACCCCAGUGCCCCUCAUUCUCAGGCCCUCGGACUCAGACUGACGGGCACUCCUGGCUCCCUGGGUCUGCAGCGCGCAGACGGCAGGCGGUGGGGCUUCUCAGCCUCUCCAACCGUGUGAGCCAGCUCCUACCAUGAGCCUCACACAGCUCUCCAUCUAUCCUGCUGGUUCUGUUUCUCUGGAAAACCCCAACUAACACAGUAAGUCACAUAAAACCUUGGAGUAAUAAAAGAAGCAAAUUUAUUUUCCUUCCUGCAUUUCUUAAAAAAGUUAACACUUGUACCUGGGGAAGCCUUGCGCUGUCUCAGCCACACUGCCAGCCCACGGUUCUGGGUAGUUUUGUGCUCUCCUAAGUCUGAAGUAAAUCUACACACCAGCAGACCCCCUCUGGGCACCACGGUCCCAGAAGACGAGCGACCCAGUGAGGAAGGGAGCCGUGACAGCUGGAGGCGGGCUCUGCGAGGCAGGAGGCCACCGUCCUCCAUCUGAAACUGCCGCCCAGACACACAAAUCCGGCCUCCCAGCCCCAGAGGUUUGGUUUUUUCACUCAUAAUUUGGUCAUCUGUGCUAAAAUUGCAAAUAAUCACAAUGGCAUAAUAACCUUACGACUUGGUGCGUGGUGUGUUUAAGAGAAUGGAUACUUGGACCUGAAAAUGGAGUGUCUGGCUCAGGGGUCACCAACCUGCUGUAGCCAGCACCCAGAUCCAGCUCCCACCUCCUUUUGUCAAUAAAGCUUUAUUGGAACACA